GUGAUUAUGAGGGACUAAGGUAGGUGGGAAUGCAGAAUUAUUGUUUAGUGGGUGCCAAGUUUUAGUUUGGGAAGAUGAAAAAAUUCUGGA